rnacentral:ncRNA from 2 species
UAACACUGCCUAUAGGUUGGUUCUCUGCGCCCGGAGUGGCAAGGGGAUCAAAAGGGAACACGGUGAGGCGUACCCAUCAGGGACCAAAUCCGUGGCUGCCCCCGCAACUGUAAGCGGCGAGUGCCCCCAGGACGCCACUGGUUUCGCAAGAGACCGGGAAGGCUGGGACGCACGAUGACCCGUGAGCCAGGAGACCUGCCAACCUCUGACUGAACAC